AGCGAACGCUGGCGGCAGGCUUAACACAUGCAAGUCGAGCGGGUGUAGCAAUACAUCAGCGGCAGACGGGUGAGUAACGCGUGGGAACGUACCUUUUGGUUCGGAACAACACAGGGAAACUUGUGCUAAUACCGGAUAAGCCCUUACGGGGACAGAUUUAUCGCCGAAAGAUCGGCCCGCGUCUGAUUAGCUAGUUGGUAGGGUAACGGCCUACCAAGGCGACGAUCAGUAGCUAGUCUGAGAGGAUGAUCAGCCACAUUGGGACUGAGACACGGCCCAAACUCCUACGGGAGGCAGCAGUGGGGAAUAUUGGACAAUGGGGGCAACCCUGAUCCAGCCAUGCCGCGUGAGUGAUGAAGGCCCUAGGGUUGUAAAGCUCUUUUGUGCGGGAAGAUAAUGACGGUACCGCAAGAAUAAGCCCCGGCUAACUUCGUGCCAGCCGCCGCAGUAAAAC
rnacentral:rRNA from 1 species